rnacentral:rRNA from 1 species
AUUUAUGAAAGAUUAACUUCUGCGAAAGCAUCUGCCAAGGAUGUUUUCAUUAAUCAAGAACGAAAGUUAGGGGAUCGAAGACGAUCAGAUACCGUCGUAGUCUUAACCAUAAACGAUGCCGACCAGCGAUUAGGAGACGUUGAAUACAAAACACCACCAUCGGUGCGGUCGUCCUUGGCGUCUCGGUCCUUCACGGGGCCGGGGCGCGGGGGUGGCUUAGCCCGGUGGCACCGGUGAAUGACUCCCCUAGCAGCUUGUGAGAAA